AAAUGGGCCCUUUUCAGGGCCACAUAAAAUUGUAAAAAUAAUCGGUU
rfam:Cyphomyrmex costatus contig10046, whole genome shotgun sequence.